rnacentral:snoRNA from 1 species
AGCCAUGACUCCAUGGGGGCUGCCGCCUGUGGCUGUCUCCCUUCCUAGGCAUGGAAGAGCAGAUUCUUGCUAAUUGGCAAAACUUUUACUCUCUUGUGAGUAUUAGUCGUUGACUGUGGCAAGUAACAGCC